AAAAGCUAAAUCAAACUAGGCAUGAGUGACUCACACCCAUAAUCGUAGCUACUCAGGAGGCUGAGAUCUGAGGAUCACGAUUCAAAGCCAGCCAGGGCAGGAA